rnacentral:lncRNA from 1 species
UGCACUCCAGCCUGGGUGAAAGAGCGAGACUCCGUCUCAAAAAAAAAAAAAGAAACGCUGUUGGGGGCAGGAGCCUGGAUCUCAACCCCUGCAAGGUGGAAAUCUGGCUUCCUCUCACCCAUACGAGCCUGCCAGAGGCAGGAGGCUGACGCCCCGGAGGGACCAGCUGACAUCGGCCUUGAGGGACCAGACUUCUCCAGGCCGGCAACCUUCUCCCAGCUUUGUGAGGUGGAGCCCAACCUCCAGACCAAGAGAGGCCUUCCUGACCUUCAACCCCAUCUCCAGAGCUCCCCAGAGCUGGUCUAGCCCCUCAUCUGACACACAGAGAAACGGAGACCAGGAACCUGACGCUGGUUUCCCUAGCCCAUGUGAGGACCCUGUAGACCAGCUACAUGCACACCCAGUCCAGCCGCCGGACAGCGUUCAGUGGGAAGAGAGCAGACCAUCGUCCACCCACAUUCCAGACUCCAACUGGCAGAGGGGAGGGGACGUUGGGGCUGCAGGGCCACCAAUGUGGACGGGACAGAGCCCCAGGGACAGCCUGUGCUGGGGACGUAUGGGGGCAGGAUCAGACCCCACAGUGCCUGCGGGCCACAAGGCCAAGACAGGAUCUGGUAAGUGACGAUUUGGAGGCUGGUCCUGAGGUGCAAGAGGGAGUGCCAGGGACAGAGAGGGCACCGGGGUGACUACAGUCCCUCCAGACUCACAUCUACCCGCACCUGUGGGUGGGGCCUUAUUUGCAUACAGGGUCUUUGCACACGUGGUUGGUUACAAUGAGGAUGCUGGAGGGGGUGGUCUGUGUCCCUGUUAACAACUCAUGUCCUUAAGAGAAAAGAGGAACGUGGACACCCACACAUCGGGAGACGGCCGCAUGGAGACGGAGCAGAGGCUGGAGUGACGCGGCCGCAGACCAAGGGCGCCUGGAGCCCCGGAAGCUGGGAGGGGCAGGAAGGGUCCUCCCCUGGAGCUACUCCUUGACCUCAGCUUCCUGUGGCCUCCAGGACAGGGACAGGCUGCUCUAAGCCACCCAGUUUGCAGCACUGCUGCGGCCGCCACGAGAAGCUCGUCCAGGGAGGAGGCUGCUCCAGCCCUGAGCCCCACGCGACUCCCGUGAGCACGAGGACUCGGGUGCCCUGGGGUGAGGCGGCACGAGGCUGUCUGUGGAUUUCCACAGCAUCCCAGGAGGCGUCUGGACCGCAGUGGCUCCAGGCUGCCAACCACGGGCAGAGGCCACCGCUCCCGAGCUUGGACCCUGCCACGCGCAGGCACAGGCCAGGCGGCGCCGGGGAAGCCUGGGGGCCCCAGACCGGCCCAGCACCGCCUGACAUUUCUCAAGCAUGCUGGGGGACGGCCCCUCAAUUUAGGAUGAGGACGAGGUGGGCCCGGCAGGAGGGCAGGAGCCGGGGUCCAGGGCGAGCAAGUUCUCCCCGCCCCACGAGGAACGGCAGUGGCCCCGGUUGCCUGGAGGUGGAAGGGGCACUGCAGCCUCACCGCCCCAUACCCCAGGAGCCCACGUGCUUCUCUCACAGGGAAAGGUGUACUGGCCAGACUCAGCGCCCUGAGGACGGGGUCGGAACCCAGCGCCCAGGAAGCUCCCCUCCCCCCGACCAAGGACCUCCCUCCAGGGUGUGCCCGGAGGAGGUCAAGACUCCACUGCCCUGAAGCAAACAAGGCGUCCAGCCCGAGCCAGGGUCACACGCCCAACAGGUAGGAUCCAGCAACCCCUGCGCAGCAGCCCCCGCCAUGCGAGGGAGGACCCGGAGUUGAGCGUGGCCCUGCCUGACAUCUGACCCCGCCGUCAGGAGCUCCACCAGACGUUAAGCUAAAUCCCCACUCACUCCAGACUUCCGGUCCUUUGAAAUGGAGGUGCCCUUGUGUGUCUUCAAUCCAUGUGGAGGGUAGUCUGGCCCAUCCCACACCUGCUACUGUCACUGCCUCACAUCAGCGGCCUCAGGCCACAAGGUCUCCCCACCUGGCUCCUUGGGGAGUGCCAAGCGUUGCCAGCAGCCGGGCUAUGCUGAUCCCAGACAAGUGGCUCGACCGGUCACCACUGUCCUUGAGCUUAAGUCCAGCCUUGGUGACAAAAAUGUCACAAGGACCUGCAUCCGAGCCCUGAGGGCAUCAGGUCCUGGAGGAGGAGGAAGAGUCCCUUCUGGCUUCGGGCUGGGCUUGAGGACGGCAGCUCCAAGACCGCUUAGAGCGAGACUUCAGCGCUGACUGCUGGAGCUACGCACCCUGUCCUGACAAUGGCCGCACAGUUAGGCGCUGCUCCACGCCUGGAGGAGGGAACUGAGGGCCCGAAAUCACAGAAGCAGGAACUCCAGGUUCGCCAGUGCGGCCUGAUCCACCUUCCCUCAAACGUAGCUGCUGACAACGACACCCACGCGCCCUCUCUGGGCCCAGCAGGUCAGAGGUCCAGGUGGGCUGGCUGCUCCACGGCCACGGCUCCAAGGCCAAGGUCAAGGCACUGCUGUCCUGGGCCCUGGUCUGGGUUCUCCGGGAGAGUCCGCGCCUGAGCUCGGCCGGGGGCGGGAUUCUGCUCCCUGUGGCCACUGGGCUGAGGCCCCACUUCCCUGCUUUCGGGGAGCCACGUCCCCCAUCACGCCAUCCCUCCCUCCUAAAAGCCAGCAGGGCAAGGUCCCUCUUAGGCUUCUGACCUGACCUCCCCUCCUCCAGCUGGAGAAGGGUCCCACGCAUGAGGACAUUUGUGACGAUGCCGGGACCCGAGGAAUCCAGGACGACCCCUCUGCAGAGCCCCUGUGCCCCGGGAGGCACCACACCCACGGCUCCAGGGGGUGGGGGGGACGGUGGCUUCUCUGGGGCUGACCCAGACCUGCAGUACACAGCGCCAGGCCAUGAGGUCUCAGCCUGCGGUCAGGCCGCGUGCACGGAAACCCAGGCUCCUGAACGGCCAGCCAGGAGCAAAGCCGGCCACUGAGUACGGGAGCAGGCUCCGGGGACACGCUCCCACUCCUUUUAGGGGCCCAGAGGCUGUGGAUGAGGAGCUCGAGUAUCCCCCUCUCAGUGUAACCUCCCCACCCCUCCCACAUCCUCCAAGUGGGGCAGGAGCCGCCUCACCAGAGCUGGGGGAGGGGGCCACACAGGUGCACCCCUGGGGAGGGGCAGCGGAGACUUGUGGGCAGGAAUGUGGCCAGGGUUUCUAGAUCAUCUGGUUUUUCAAGAGAAGCCACAAGUCUGCGUUUGAGGGUGGCAGCCCCUGGUGUUCCAAAGUCGGCAAGCAAUUCAAGCAUCCACACCCCCACCCCGGGGCAGCGUUGGGUGCCCAGACCUCAGGGCCACCCCGAGAGCUCCUGCAUCCACCUGGGGGCUCGCAGCUCCCCCAAGCUCCUGGCGGGUAGCAGUCAUUCCAGGAUCUGAUAAAAGCCCCCGAAAAUGCCCCGGUCAGCCCAGCCACACCCGGGCAACACCGACAGCCAUUCUCCACCAGGGCCCCAGCGCCCAGCUGAGUGAGACCCACCCGGUAGCUUCCGGGGCUGGGCCCCUGCCCCACCAGUGAAAACAUUCUGGUCACAGUGAUGCCGCCCUGAGAAGCUCCUCACCGUCCCCCGUGGCCUUGGAACCCCCCUCACACCCAUGGGUUCCAGGCACCCUGGCGGCUGUCUGUCCCCACGAAGCCUGGCCCUCUCACAGCGUAGGGAGGCUGCGGUCACCAGCGUGGGUCCCGCGACCCAUUCCACCCGGCCCCUGGGCACCGGAAGCCAGGCGGCGAGCGCAGCAGACCCCAGAGGCAGCUUUCCUCA